AUUGGCCAGGUCUGGAGAUUCUGGGAAGGCAGGGCUGCUCCUGUCACGUGGUGUGCACUGUUUUCUCGUCACGUGGCUUCUGCAGCGCGGGCUGCAUGAACUGGGGGCGGGCGCUCGGCGUCCUACUCGGCGGAGGGGUGAGUCUGGUCCCGCCCCUUCCGGUCUCGAAGUCUGGCCGAGCUUCAUCCGCCGAACCGAGGAGCUGUCCCAAGUUUUAAGUUUCAGGGACAUUUUUCUUCCUAGUGCAGAAAAGGCAGGGCAGAGGCCUGGUGUCUGCCCCAAAAGGCAGCCCGGGUGCGGUUUCCUGGUGCAGUUGUGGGGACACUGAAUCCGCCCCCCUCCCCUGCUCCAGGCCACGCUGCUCCUGUCGUUUCUUUGCAUGCCUGCCCUACUGCCGGUGGCUUCCCGCCUUCUAUUGCUACCCCGAGCUCUGCUGUCCAUGGCUUCUGGAAGCCCUCCGUCCCAGCCGUCGCCGGCCUCGGGCUCCGGCUACGUUCCAGGAUCAGUCUCUGCAGCCUUUGUCACUUGUCCGAACGAAAAAGUCGCCAAGGAGAUUGCCAGGUGGGGGAACUUCGGCCCGAGGACCUACGAAGGAAAGUUGGGGAUAGGGAGAGGGUGCUGUCUCUG
rnacentral:lncRNA from 1 species